UACGGGGGGGGCAAGCGUUGUUCGGAAUUACUGGGCGUAAAGGGUUUGUAGGUGGUCUGUUAAGUCAGACGUGAAAUCCCUCAGCUUAACUGGGGAACUGCGUCUGAGACUGAUGGACUUGAGGGCAGGAGAGGAACGCGGAAUUCCAGGUGUAGCGGCGAAAUGCGUAGAUAUCUGGAGGAACACCGGUGGCGAAGGCGGCGUUCUGGACUGUUUCUGACACUGUAAAACGAAAGCCAGGGGAGCAAACGGG
rnacentral:rRNA from 1 species